GUCCACGCCAUAAACGAUGGAUACUUGUCGUUGGAGGUAUUGACCCCUUCAGUGACGAAGCUAACGCGUUAAGUAUCCCGCCUGGGGAGUACGGUCGCAAGAUUAAAACUCAAAGAAAUUGACGGGGGCCCGCACAAGCGGUGGAUCAUGUGGUUUAAUUCGAUGCAACGCGAAGAACCUUACCUGGGCUUGACAUGUACUGGAAGAGUGGCAGAAAUGUCCUCGCUCGCAAGAGUCGGUAUACAGGUGCUGCAUGGCUGUCGU
rnacentral:rRNA from 1 species